AUGCCCAUGACCACCAUGUUUCCGUUCGGCGUCCCUUCCAGCCGAGCCCGGAGCAAAGAAAUGGCUGCAACAAGCUUCCUCUUGCUAACCAUCGUCCUAGCUACAGCCAGCACCACCACCUCCUCCUCCUCCGUCGCUAUCAACGCGAGCGGAACAUCAAACGGAGGCUGCAUCCCGGCCGAGAGGGUCGCGCUGCUCUCCUUCAAGGCCGGCCUCACAGGCGAUCCGGACAAUCGCCUCAUCUCAUGGCAGCAAGGUGCACAUGACUGUUGCCGGUGGAGCGGCGUCACCUGCAGCCGCCGGACAGGCCACGUCAUCAAGCUCGACCUCCAUCAAGAUAUUCCAGAAGUGUAUUAUUUAUCUGAUGAUGACCCUGAGAACCACUCACUGCGUGGUCAGUUAUCUCCUUCUUUGCUUGCUCUCCGACGCCUCAAGUAUCUUGACCUUAGCCAGAACUAUCUCCUUGGAGAUGCAAAGGCUAUGCCGGGGUUCUUGGGCUCUCUCCAGAGUUUGACUUAUCUCAACCUCUCCAACAUGGAUUUUCAUGGUCCAGUGCCUCCUCAGCUAGGCAACCUCUCCAACCUAAUACAGCUUGACAUACAAGGCAGUAUUUUUGGUGAUUAUCAAUACUCAAAGGAUAUAUCUUGGUUAGCCCGUCUCCGAUCAUUAGAGCAUCUUAACAUGGGCUCGGUCGGCCUCCCUGAAGUCGUUGACUGGGUCCAUACGGUCGGGACACUUCCUAAUUUGGCUGUACUGAUUCUGUUUCAAUGUGGCCUUACUAAUAGUAAUGUUCCAUCAUCGUUUGUACACCACAACCUUACAGUUCUUGAAGUGGUUGACCUCACUGGUAACCAAUUCAGCAGUCCAGAUACACCCAACUGGUUAUGGAAUGUAACUAGCCUCAGGAGCCUAAGGUUGGUGGAAUGUGGAUUAUCAGGCACGUUUGCUAACAAUCUAGGAAACUUGACCUUGUUAGAGAACUUUGCCUUUGGACUCAACAAUGUUGAUGGGAUGAUACCAGGAGCACUGAAAAAAAUGUGUAAUCUAAGGUCUCUAGAUCUCAGCAUGAACAACAUCAGCACGGACAUGAAAGAGGUGAUACACUCGAUACCCAACUGCUCUUGGAAGAAUUUGCAACAGUUGAUUCUAGAGAGUGCCAACAUCAUUGGCACAACAUUACAAUUUGUGUCAAACCUAACCAGCUUAAACAUGCUUGAAGUCAGUCACAACCAAUUGAGCGGUUCAAUGCCCGUGGAGAUUGGUGCGCUUGCAAAUUUAACUUACUUAGACCUUCAGCAAAACAACUUGAGCGGUUCGGUGCCCGUGGAGAUUGGCAAGCUUACAAAAUUGACUUACUUAGACCUUUCGUUCAACAACUUGAGUGGUGUGAUGACAGAAGAUCAUUUUGUUGGUUUGAUGAAUUUGAAGUACAUUGACUUAUCUGAGAAUUAUUUGGAAGUUAUUGUUGACUCGCAUUGGGUACCUCCGUUCAACUUGGAAUCAGCAUGGUUAUCAUAUUGUAAUUUGGGUCCCAAGUUUCCUAAAUGGCUUCAAUGGCAGAAGAGCAUCCGUGAACUUAUUAUUCCAAACACAGGUCUAGUUGAUAGGGUCCCAGAUUGGUUUUGGACUACCUUUUCUGAAGCUACAUGGUUGGAUAUCUCCUUGAACCAACUUAGCGGCGACUUAUCAUUCAAUCUGGAGUUCAUGUCAAUGACUACACUUUUAAUGCAGUCAAAUCUACUCACAGGUUUGAUACCCAAGUUACCAAGCACAAUUAAGGUAUUGGACAUAUCAAGGAACUACUUAAAUGGGUUUGUAGCAGAUUUAGGAGCUCAGAAUUUGCAAGUUGCAGCUCUGUUUUCCAAUGCUAUAUCCGGGACUAUUCCAACGUCAAUUUGUCGAUUGCGGAAGUUGCGGAUCUUAGAUCUUUCAAACAAUCUGCUUUCAAAGGGACUUCCUGAUUGUGGCCAAGAAGAGUUGAAACAUCAGAACCCUUCUGGCAAUAACUCUUCAAAAUUCAUUUCACUGAGUUCUUUCAGUUUGAAUAUCACGGUUCUUCUUCUAAGCAACAACAGUUUUUCAAGUGGAUUUCCUUUGCUCCUACGACAAUGUCCGAGUCUUAGUUUCCUCGAUCUAACUCAAAAUAGAUUCACCGGAGAGUUGCCUGGGUGGAUCAGUGAAGCCAUGCCAGGUUUGGUUAUGCUACGGUUAAGAUCGAACAACUUUUAUGGUCACAUUCCAGUUGAAAUCAUGGGACUUCACAAUGUUCGGAUUCUCGAUUUGUCCAAUAAUAACUUUUCUGGGGCCAUACCGCAAUAUAUAGAAAACUUGAAAGCUUUGAGUAGCACUGAGACAACUAUUGAUAAUCCUUUCGAAGAAGCAUACGAAGGUGAGUAUCGUUCCGCUCAUAUAGGAAUGGUUAAUGUUAGCAUCACGGUGGUGAUGAAAGGGCAAGAGCUUGAGUAUGGGGGCAAUAUUGUAUAUUUGAUGAGCAUUGAUUUGUCUUGCAACAAUUUGACCGGAGAAAUCCCAGAGAAACUAAGCUCCCUUGUUGGUCUCAUAAGUUUGAAUUUAUCAUCAAACUUGUUGAGUGGAAAUAUCCCAUAUAAUAUUGGCAAACUUCAAUCAGUGGAGUCUCUUGACUUCUCGAGGAACAAACUAGGUGGUGAAAUCCCUCGGAGCUUAUCAAAUUUGACAUACCUGAGCAAUUUAAACUUGUCAUAUAAUAAUCUAUCUGGAAGAAUACCCACAGGGCAUCAACUCGACACCCUCAAUACGGAUAAUCCGGCCUCUAUGUACAUUGGAAAUCCUGGUCUUUGUGGACAUCCAGUUCCAAUGCAAUGUCCUGGUCCACCUAGGGAUCCGCCCACCAACGGAGAUCCAACAAGGUUGCCGGAAGAUGGCUUGUCUCAAAUAGAUUGUCUUCUUGGAUCAAUUAUUGGUUUUGUGGUGGGCGCUUGGAUGGUGUUCUUCGGACUUCUCUUCAUCAAGAAAUGGAGGUAUGCUUACUUUGGGCUACUCGACAACCUAUAUGACAGGUUGUAUGUCAUUUCUGUUGUUACUUGGCAAAAAUGGUUCGGACCACGGGUGUGA
rnacentral:rRNA from 1 species